AACGCUAGCUACAGGCUUAACACAUGCAAGUCGAGGGGUAACGAGAGGGAAGCUUGCUUUCCUUGUCGACGACCGGCGAAUGGGUGAGUAACGCGUAUCCAACCUGCCCUUCAGUAAGGGAUAGCCUUUCGAAAGAAAGAAUAAUACCUUAUAACAUCGUUUGAUGACAUCAGACGACUAAAGAUUUAUCGCUGAAGGAUGGGGAUGCGUCCCAUUAGGCAGUAGGCGGGGUAACGGCCCACCUAACCUACGAUGGGUAGGGGUUCUGAGAGGAAGGUCCCCCACAUUGGAACUGAGACACGGUCCAAACUCCUACGGGAGGCAGCAGUGAGGAAUAUUGGUCAAUGGCCGUAAGGCUGAACCAGCCAAGUAGCGUGCAGGAUGACGGCCCUAUGGGUUGUAAACUGCUUUUAAACGGGGAUAAAGUGAGCCACGUGUGGUUUAUUGCAGGUACCGUUUGAAUAAGGACCGGCUAAUUCCGUGCCAGCAGCCGCGGUAAUACGGAAGGUCCAGGCGUUAUCCGGAUUUAUUGGGUUUAAAGGGAGCGUAGGCGGAGCGUCAAGCCAGCAGUGAAAUGUAGCGGCCCAACCGCUGCACUGCUGUUGGAACUGGCGCCCUUGAGUGCACACGAGGUAUGCGGAAUUUGUGGUGUAGCGGUGAAAUGCUUAGAUAUCACGAAGAACUCCGAUUG
rnacentral:rRNA from 1 species